rnacentral:rRNA from 1 species
UACGUAGGGAGCGAGCGUUAUCCGGAAUUAUUGGGUGUAAAGGGUGCGUAGACGGGAAUACAAGUUAGUUGUGAAAUCCCUCGGCUUAACUGAGGAACUGCAACUAAAACUAUAUUUCUUGAGUGCAGGAGAGGUAAGUGGAAUUCCUAGUGUAGCGGUGGAAUGCGUAGAUAUUAGGAGGAACACCAGUGGCGAAGGCGACUUACUGGACUGUAACUGACGUUGAGGCACGAAAGUGUGGGGAGCAAACAGG